rnacentral:rRNA from 1 species
AAAAACAUCGCCUCUUGCUUCAGUGAAUAAGAGGUCACGCCUGCCCUGUGACUAUAUGUUUAACGGCCGCGGUAUUUUGACCGUGCAAAGGUAGCGCAAUCACUUGUCCUUUAAAUGUGGACCUGUAUGAAUGGCAUAACGAGGGCUUAGCUGUCUCCUUUCUCAAGUCAAUGAACUUGAUCUCCCCGUGCAGAAGCGGGGAUAAAACCAUAAGACGAGAAGACCCUAUGGAGCUUUAGACAAAAAACAGCCCCUGUCAAUAAACCCUAAAUAAAGGAAAUAAACCUAGUGAACCUGUUUUAAUGUCUUUGGUUGGGGCGACCGCGGGGUAACAAAAAACCCCCAUGUGGAAUGAAAACACCCUUUUUAAAACCAAGAGUCACCACUCUAAGUUACAGAACAUCUGACCAAUAAUGAUCCGGCUAAAGCCGAUUAACGAACCGAGUUACCCUAGGGAUAACAGCGCAAUCCUCUUUUAGAGUCCAUAUCGACAAGAGGGUUUACGACCUCGAUGUUGGAUCAGGACAUCCCAAUGGUGCAGCCGCUAUAAA